rnacentral:rRNA from 1 species
UACGUAGGUGGCAAGCGUUGUCCGGAUUUAUUGGGUUUAAAGGGUGCGUAGGCGGUCUUAUAAGUCAGUGCUGAAGUAUCCCGGCUUAACCGGGAGGGUGGCAUUGAUACUGUAGGACUUGAGUAGAGUUGAGGUUGGCGGAAUUGACGGUGUAGCGGUGAAAUGCUUAGAUAUCAGGAGGAACACCGGUGGCGAAGGCGGGUCUCUGGGCAACAACUGACGCUGAGGAGCGAAAGCGUGGGGAGCGAACAGG